rnacentral:tRNA from 1 species
ANGUAGCCAAGUGGAUCAAGGCAGUGGAUUGUGAAUCCACCAUGCGCGAA